rnacentral:rRNA from 1 species
UACGGAGGGUGCGAGCGUUGUCCGGAAUCACUGGGCGUAAAGGGCGCGUAGGCGGCCUGAUAAGUAGGGGGUGAAAUCCUGCGGCUUAACCGCAGGGCUGCCUUCUAAACUGUCAGGCUCGAGCACAGUAGAGGCAGGUGGAAUUCCCGGUGUAGCGGUGGAAUGCGUAGAGAUCGGGAAGAACAUCAGUGGCGAAGGCGGUUACCUGGAGCUUUGCUGACGCUGAUGCGCGAAAGCGUGGGGAGCGAUCCGG